CAAGUAAGUGUACGUGUGAAAAAAAUAUAGAAGCCGGCAGAAAUGUUUACAAAUUGCGAAAUGCACGUAUACCUUGAAAUAUUACUACGCUGAGGACGUGUUAUUAUAAAGCGUAAUAACGGAAACGGGACGAUAUAAGCCUCCGUGGUCCCUGGGCUCCCGAAAAAAUGUGCGACGGUAAAUUAGGUCUGAUCAUUGCAACGUCGAUGUUGAGCGUCGUUGCAGUAGGCCUAGGAGUCGGGGUAGGCCUCCUCCUCAACAAGAGUUUCCACGACGAUGAGACGAUUCGUCAGCUGCGGGAAGAGAGUGUCAGCACCUCACUAGCGGUACGUGUCAGCCGGAUU
rnacentral:misc_RNA from 1 species